rnacentral:rRNA from 1 species
AUAUUAAGCAAAACCCAAACGAAGCAGUCUCAGUUCGGAUUGAAGGCUGAAAUUCGCCUUCAUGAAGCCGGAAUUGCUAGUAAUGGCAGGUCAGCAUACUGCCGUGAAUACGUUCCCGGGCCUUGUACACACCGCCCGUCACACCAUGAGAGUUGGGGAUACCCGAAGCCUGUGAGCUAACAGUAAUGAAGCAGCAGUCGAAGGUAGAAUCAAUGAUUGGGGUGAAGUCGUAACAAGGUACC